rnacentral:rRNA from 1 species
GUAAGGAAUAUUGGACAAUGGACGCAAGUCUGAUCCAGCCAUGCCGCGUGAAGGAUUAAGGUCCUCUGGAUUGUAAACUUCUUUUAUCUGGGACGAAAAAAGGGAAUUCUUUCUCGUCUGACGGUACCAGAUGAAUAAGCACCGGCUAACUCCGUGCCAGCAGCCGCGGUAAUACGGAGGGUGCAAGCGUUAUCCGGAUUCACUGGGUUUAAAGGGUGCGUAGGCGGGUAUGUAAGUCCGUGGUGAAAUCUCCGAGCUUAACUCGGAAACUGCCAUGGGUACUGCGUAUCUUGAAUGUUGUGGAGGUGAGCGGAAUAUGUCAUGUAGCGGUGAAAUGCUUAGAUAUGACAUAGAACACCAAUUGCGAAGGCAGCUCACUACACAAAUAUUGACGCUGAGGCACGAAAGCGUGGGGAUCAAACAGGAUUAGAAACCCUGGUAGUCC